rnacentral:rRNA from 1 species
CAGUAGCCGCGGGAAAACGUAGGGUGCAAGCGUUAAUCGGAAUUACUGGGCGUAAAGCGUGCGCAGGCGGUUAUAUAAGACAGAUGUGAAAUCCCCGGGCUCAACCUGGGAACUGCAUUUGUGACUGUAUAGCUAGAGUACGGCAGAGGGGGAUGGAAUUCCGCGUGUAGCAGUGAAAUGCGUAGAUAUGCGGAGGAACACCGAUGGCGAAGGCAAUCCCCUGGGCCUGUACUGACGCUCAUGCACGAAAGCGUGGGGAGCAAACAGGAUUAGAGACCCGUGUAGUCCCUGUCUCUUAUAA